CCUCGAUCUUUUAUUAAAGCGAAAUUACUGGACGCAGGCAAGCAAAGCUGAUUCCUUCUAUGCACCCACAGUAAGAAACCACUCCAUUUUCGUUCUGUUAAAUUUGGAAAAACCAUUCUGGGGUUCACCGGAAAAGAUGGCAGAAUCCGGCGGAAGUUGCCGGUGUUGUUGCAGUUUUAUAUUAACUCUUGGGCUAACUGCUCUUUUCAUGUGGUUAAGCCUGCGAACUUCAAAUCCUUCUUGCUCCAUACAGUACUUCUAUCUUCCUGGACUUAACAAAACCCUCAACUCGACUAGAAACCACACGCUUUACUUCAUGGUUAGGCUUGACAACACCAACAAAGACAAGGGUGUUUUCUAUGAUUCUGUUAAUUUGACUUUCUUUGACUUCCCAAACAGGAGCCAUGUUAUAGGGAACUAUACGAUACCCAAGUUUCGUCAGGGGCAUAAGAAGAAGGCGGAGAAGAAUGGUAACGUGGAGACAAAUUGGCGAGCGGUUUCCCGGGCGGUUUGGCCGAACAGUACGGCGGUUUUCCGGGUGGAUUUGGCGACGCAGGUGAGGUUCAAGAUCAUAUUUUGGAAGACGAAGAGGCAGAAGAUCAUGGUGGGGGCUGAUGUAGUGGUCAAUGAUACGGGGACUUUUGAUCAUAAGGCCAACAAGAAAGGCAUCAGGCUCAAGUCUGGAGCAGCUGCAGCAGCAGAGCAUGGGCGCUUUUGUUUGGUGAAAAUUUGUCACAGGAGUCCUUGGAUAGCAAUCUUCUUGGUUGGAAUGAAGCUAUCACAACCUUGAGUGGUUCUGCUCAUCUUUAUAAUAUUUCAUGGCAAAUGGAACAAACUCAGCAUUGUAAAGGAAUUCUAUCAGCAAAUGCAUUUUAGAAUGCAACUUCUUCGCUCGAAAAUUUUUGAACUUGAAGCUGAAGGUGAUUGAAGCAUCAAAAGAACAAUAUUUGAACAUAUCAUGGAUCUGAUGCAAAAACUAAUUUCAUCUUACAAUCGCUUUUUUUUUUUUCUGAUUGGGAAAUUCCAGAGCAACGGGAAACUCUUCCUAAGUCAUAUGUGGAUAGCCUUUUGUGUGAACGAAUUACGAAAUAAACUUGCAGUAUUAUCAAUUUUAAUUUUCUUUUAGUGAGUAACACCUUUUCAGUUAGAAUCUGACUUCUGUCUUUUUCACUGCAGAGAGCUGCUGAAUCAAAUUUGGACAAAUAUCCGAACAGUCUUUAGUCCAUUGGAGCACAUUUGAAGCAUCUAUCUAUAAUUUUGACCUGGAUUGGGCAUGCCUUGGCCCGGGAUGACCUUCAGGUAGCCGGGAUACACGAUAUCGGUGACAGACAAUGUCAUCUUGUCGCCACCCAACAGAGGCACCGACAGCGUGCAACCUGUGAGGGCAUUCACCAAAGGUACCCCGGCUUCUCAUUGCCCUUUCCUUCGAAGGUUAUCUUGGUUCCUUUCUUCCAUCCUGGCUUCAGUUUUAUUGUCAGUAUUUCUUCUUGUUGCACAAUUAUUCUGCCACCAUCAUCAUCAUCAUAUGACCAUCAUUGUAACUAGUAAUACUAAUUAACAUAAACAAAAAAAAAAAUAUUUAUACAUUUAUAAAUAAUCAAUAUGGUGAAAAGAUACCCUUCAUCUGUGAUGACAUCCCUAGUGAUCUUGAUAUUCUUGAGGGAUCCAUGGCAUAACUCUUCAAUGGUGCAAUCGAGUUUUCUUUCAAUAGGAGGAGGCUUCUUCCUGGCAGUUGUUUGAGAGAAAACAAUGGGGGUGGUACUCCUUCUGCUUGCAGUUCUUGAAAUAUUAGCUGGGAUUUCUGGUGCUGAUUCGCAUCGAAUUCUUCUAGAAGAUGAUGAUGCUUUUGUUGGGCUGCUGUCCUGUUCCCUUCUGCUCGUGCUUUUAGACAACGAACAGAAGCCUUUGGUCGGAGAGGUGAUAUCAUUUCGGCUUCCAAUUUUUGACAAGUAUGUUGGUCUAGCUUGUGGAGUAUGGCUCCUUCUACUUCCACUCUUCGACAACAGAGAUGAUCUUCUCUUAUACACACUGCUGUCAUCUACACUUCGGAGCUUAAAGCUAUCAGGACUUGCAGCUUCUGUGAAUUUCUCCUCUUCAAAUUUGCUAUUCAGGGACUGAACAUUCAAGUCAUAUGCAUACAUAGGAUGAUGAGAAACUCCAGCAAUACCUUAUGAUUGAUUGUAUAUGUAUGUGUUAUUUGUCUCAUCAUGCACAAGACAACAAUACAAUCUUAGUCAUCUUAUA